UUGCAGACCUGGCACAGCCUCAUAUACGCUCUGCCACCGUGGUUUUUAAAAGCAAGCGAGGUAUAAUAACAUCAGGGACCGGAUUACAUGAAGAAGUCCGUUGUGACAACUACGCAAAUCCUUUGGCUGAAAUAGCACAACAUGAUGCAGAAGACAGUGCAGUGAAAGUGGCUCCUCCUGAGACAGUGCAAGUUCACGGGAUCAAUGUUUCUUGGAUUUUUGUUCCUUCAAAAAAAUUUUUAAAGCCUGAGUUUGGGGUCCAGUACAGAUCUGCUGCUCAGAGCUGGAAGCUUGCAACUCACACAACCAACAGAUGAUUACCCUAUACACACCAGUUACACAAACACGACUAACUUGUGCAUGUUCAGUGUGCUCAUAAAUACCAUAUACAGCAUAUUCAGCGAUAGAUACAAAGGGUGGAAAUUAUAUCUUUCUUUCUCAAACUGUUGUGAAGGAAAGAGCUGUAAGUGUAGGUGAUCAGUAAAUGAAUGUGGUGUUUCAAAUGGCAGUGUUUUCCAGAACUCAUGAGCUGUCAGUGUCUAAUGUGGGG
rnacentral:lncRNA from 1 species